rnacentral:rRNA from 1 species
AACAAACGCUGGCGGCGUGCCUAAUACAUGCAAGUCGAACGGGGAAAGCUUUCGGGUGAGUACUAGUGGCGCACGGGUGAGUAACGCGUGGAUAAUCUGCCUUAGAGUGGGGGAUAACUAGUCGAAAGAUUAGCUAAUACCGCAUAAGACCACAAGAACUGCGGUUCAAGGGGUCAAAGGUUUUUCGCUCUAAGAUGAGUCCGCGUAAGAUUAGCUAGUUGGUAGGGUAACGGCCUACCAAGGCGACGAUCUUUAACUGGUCUGAGAGGAUGAUCAGUCACACUGGAACUGAGACACGGUCCAGACUCCUACGGGAGGCAGCAGUAGGGAAUAUUGCGCAAAGGAGGAAACUCUGAUGCAGCGACGCCGCGUGAGUGAUGAAGGCCUUCGGGUCGUAAAGCUCUGUCGCAGGGGAAUAACACAAUGAAGGUACCCUGUAAGAAAGGAUCGGCUAACUUCGUGCCAGCCGCCGCAGUAAAAC